rnacentral:misc_RNA from 1 species
GCUCAUUCCAAGUAUCAGUCGAAGCAAGGGCUCUUGUAUCAUGAACAAAGGUUGUAUGUGGACACUAGUGACUAUUUAAGGAAGAAAUUGAUUGCAAUAUCAUAAUAGUGCAAUGGGGGGCAAUUAUGGCAUGCCAAACACUUAUUUGAGGUUGCAAAAGCAUUUCACCGGCCUUGUAUCCACUCAGAUGUGUUUCAGUGGGUGCAUCAGUGUGCUGAUUGUGCUCAGUGCAAUGGAGAUAAUUCUGCUUAUCCAGUGUAGAGUUCUUUAAAAAAAUGGGAACUACUAUCUCUUAUAGUAGUGCCUAUCAUCCUCAAAAGGAUGGGCAAACUGAGCAUUUUGAAUCAGUGCUUAGAAGCCUA